GCAGUGGCAUCGACCCAUGGGUUUAAAUAGUUAUCAAAAGUACCAGGAUUGUAAUUUAGUACGCCAGACGCGCGUUUCGUCUACAUUCGUCGGGUAAAAAUUGAUGAAAAUUGGAAAAAUCAUCAAAAUUGGGUACUUUCAGAGGGCCGUAGCAAAAAAAAAGCGCACCACCAUAUGAUUUUUUCUUCACCAAAUGUUUUAUUACAGUCAUAUAAACCCAAAAAUAAGGUUUAGAAAAAAAGUUUAAUUCUAGAAUUUGUUGGCUCCUCAGAGGUGUACAUCCUUAAGCAC
rnacentral:lncRNA from 1 species